rnacentral:rRNA from 1 species
AGAGUUUGAUCCUGGCUCAGAUUGAACGCUGGCGGCAGGCCUAACACAUGCAAGUCGAACGCGAAAGCUCCUUCGGGAGUGAGUAGAGUGGCGAACGGGUGAGUAAUACGUAGGAAUCUACCCAAGAGUGGGGGAUAACCCGGGGAAACUCGGGCUAAUACCGCAUACGCCCCAAGGGGUAAAGCGGGGGACCUUCGGGCCUCGCGCUUUUGGAUGAGUCUACGCCGGAUUAGCUUGUUGGUAGGGUAAUGGCCUACCAAGGCUACGAUCCGUAGCUGGUCUGAGAGGAUGAUCAGCCACAUCGGGACUGAGACACGGCCCGAACUCCUACGGGAGGCAGC